GCGCCCAUAGCUCAGCUGGUAGAGCAGAUCCCUCUUAAGGAUAAGGUCGAAGGUUCGAUCCCUUCUGGGCGCACAA
rnacentral:tRNA from 2 species